rnacentral:rRNA from 1 species
UACGUAGGGGGCAAGCGUUGUCCGGAUUUAUUGGGCGUAAAGAGCGUGUAGGCGGCUUGGAAGGUCAGCUGUGAAAACUCGAGGCUCAACCUCGAGACGUCGGUUGAAACCACCUGGCUAGAGUCCGGAAGAGGAGUGUGGAAUUCCCGGUGUAGCGGUGAAAUGCGCAGAUAACGGGAAGAACACCCGUGGCGAAGGCGGCACUCUGGGCCGAUAUUGACGCUGAGGAGCGAAAGCGUGGGGAGCAAACAGG